GAUGAACGCUAGCUACAGGCUUAACACAUGCAAGUCGAGGGGCAGCGGGAUUGAAGCUUGCUUCAAUCGCCGGCGACCGGCGCACGGGUGAGUAACGCGUAUCCAACCUUCCGUACACUCAGGGAUAGCCUUUCGAAAGAAAGAUUAAUACCUGAUGGUAUGAUGAGAUUGCAUGAUAACAUCAUUAAAGAUUCAUCGGUGUACGAUGGGGAUGCGUUCCAUUAGGUAGUAGGCGGGGUAACGGCCCACCUAGCCUACGAUGGAUAGGGGUUCUGAGAGGAAGGUCCCCCACAUUGGAACUGAGACACGGUCCAAACUCCUACGGGAGGCAGCAGUGAGGAAUAUUGGUCAAUGGACGAGAGUCUGAACCAGCCAAGUAGCGUGAAGGAUGAAGGUCCUACGGAUUGUAAACUUCUUUUAUAAGGGAAUAAA
rnacentral:rRNA from 1 species